UGUAUACAUAUAUAGGUACGUAAAAAAUAUAUAUUGUAGAAAACAUUUUGUAAAUGCCUCAAAUUAUAUCUACAUUCUGUAUCAUUAAAUAUAGGAAAUAUAUUCUACAAUCUACACGGUGUAAGAUAAAUAUGACUGAAUACAAUUGUUUAUUCGAUCAUAGUCUUAUCUAUGAUCAUAGUAGAAGCAAAUGAAAAAGACAUGUUCUACUUAGUCCCUUCUAAUCCAUGCAAGUCAGGACCGUACUUAGAAUUGAUAGAUGUACAAGGUGCUAUAAACGCUAUGGUUAUUCAAAGAAGUGGACUGUAUGAAUACGAUAAAACUAUAGAAUAACGAUAUUUAGAGAUGGCUUAAUUAACGCUAUUGUAGUUUAUCUUCUUGUUAAAGGGUUCUUCUGGAUGUCUUGAAUUUGUCAGCAGUUUCUCUAAAUGCACAUGGAUCGCAGUAAAACUGCAGGGAUACGCACUCUCUCGUGUCUAUAUACAUACAUAAGGUAUAUUUUUUUUGAUUAAGCACAUUAAUAACCUGCUUAUUAUCGUUUUGUACCAUGACGUCAUGAAAAUUGUGGCAACAAAAAAACGAGCACUUUCCAACAAAAAUUCGCGCAGACGUUAUAAUUGAUUAUAUUUGAAAUAUAUUAAAAAUAAACUAUUUCUACCAUGUUA